GACGAACGCUGGCGGCGUGCUUAACACAUGCAAGUCGAACGGAAGGGCCCUGCUUUUGUGGGGUGCUCGAGUGGCGAACGGGUGAGUAACACGUGAGUAACCUGCCCUUGACUUUGGGAUAACUUCAGGAAACUGGGGCUAAUACCGGAUAGGAGCUCCUGCUGCAUGGUGGGGGUUGGAAAGUUUCGGCGGUUGGUGAUGGACUCGCCGCCUAUCAGCUUGUUGGUGGGGUAGUGGCUUACCAAGGCUUUGACGGGUGACGGGCCUGAAAGGGAGACCGGACACAUUAGGCAUCAGAAACGGUCCGGACUCAUCGGGGGGGAAGCAGGGGGAAAGUUUCACAAACGGGCGGAGGAUAAUAGCAGCAACGCCGGGGGCGGGCUAAAGGCUAUCGGUUAGAAACCGGCUUUAGGGUAUGAGGAAGCGAAAGAGACGCAAAGGGAUAGAAAAGGACCGGAAAGCUAGGUG
rnacentral:rRNA from 1 species